UUACGACCAUAUUCACGUUGAAGCACCAGUUCUCUUACGAUCACCGAAGUUUAAACAACGUUGUGCAUGGUGAGUACUUAGAUAGGAGACCACUUGGGAAUAUCAGAUGAUGUA